GAUGAACGCUAGCGAUAGGCCUAACACAUGCAAGUCGAGGGGCAGCACAUGAGUAGCAAUACGAUGGUGGCGACCGGCGCACGGGUGAGUAACACGUAUGCAACCUACCUUUAACAGGGGAAUAACCCGUUGAAAAACGGACUAAUACUCCAUAACACAGGGGUCCCGCAUGGGAAUAUUUGUUAAAGAUUUAUCGGUUGAAGAUGGGCAUGCGUUCCAUUAGCUUGUUGGUGAGGUUACGGCUCACCAAGGCCACGAUGGAUAGGGGAACUGAGAGGUUUAUCCCCCACACUGGAACUGAGACACGGUCCAGACUCCUACGGGAGGCAGCAGUGAGGAAUAUUGGUCAAUGGAGGCAACUCUGAACCAGCCAAGUCGCGUGAAGGAUGAGGGUCUUAUGGAUUGUAAACUUCUUUUGCAAGGGAAUAAAGUGGGGGACGUGUCCUCCUUUGCAUGUACCUUGCGAAUAAGGAUCGGCUAACUCCGUGCCAGCCGCCGCCGUAA
rnacentral:rRNA from 1 species